rfam:Nicotiana sylvestris Nsyl_contig9144, whole genome shotgun sequence.
UGGACAGAUUAUUAUAUUUGACUGUAUUGACGGCGUAAAAUGGGGGAUUACACUGUUUUUAAAACGGAAAAUGAAUCAAUUAACAUAAUAGACUCCU